rnacentral:rRNA from 1 species
CCCAGACUCCUACGGGAGGCAGCAGUGGGGAAUAUUGCACAAUGGGGGAAACCCUGAUGCAGCAACGCCGCGUGAGUGAAGAAGUAUUUCGGUAUGUAAAGCUCUAUCAGCAGGGAAGAAGAAAGACGGUACCUGACUAAGAAGCCCCGGCUAACUACGUGCCAGCAGCCGCGGUAAUACGUAGGGGGCAAGCGUUAUCCGGAUUUACUGGGUGUAAAGGGAGCGUAGACGGCUGUGCAAGUCUGAAGUGAAAGCCCGUGGCUCAACCGCGGAACUGCAUUUGAAACUGUUUUUCUUGAGUACCGGAGAGGUCAUCGGAAUUCCUUGUGUAGCGGUGAAAUGCGUAGAUAUAAGGAAGAACACCAGUGGCGAAGGCGGAUGACUGGACGGCAACUGACGGUGAGGCGCGAAAGCGUGGGGAGCAAACAGGAUUAGAUACCCCGGUA